rnacentral:rRNA from 1 species
AGUGAACGCUGGCGGUAGGCCUAACACAUGCAAGUCGAACGGCAGCACAGUAAGAGCUUGCUCUUACGGGUGGCGAGUGGCGGACGGGUGAGGAAUACAUCGGAAUCUACUUUUUCGUGGGGGAUAACGUAGGGAAACUUACGCUAAUACCGCAUACGACCUACGGGUGAAAGCAGGGGAUCUUCGGACCUUGCGCGAUUGAAUGCGCCGAUGUCGGAUUAGCUAGUUGGCGGGGUAAAGGCCCACCAAGGCGACGAUCCGUAGCUGGUCUGAGAGGAUGAUCAGCCACACUGGAACUGAGACACGGUCCAGACUCCUACGGGAGGCAGCAGUGGGGAAUAUUGGACAAUGGGCGCAAGACUGAUCCAGCCAUACCGCGUGGGUGAAGAAGGCCUUCGGGUUGUAAAGCCCUUUUGUUGGGAAAGAAAAGCAGCAGGUUAAUACCCCGCUGUUCUGACGGUACCCAAAGAAUAAGCACCGGCUAACUUCGUG